AUGAUCUUCCACACUCAGCUUCUCUGGAUACUAGUUUUUUGGAUUCAGGAUUCCAUCGGGCAGAUUGUGCUGACUCAGACUCCAGAAUCUCUCUCAGUGUCUCCAGGAGACACAGUCACCAUCCGCUGCAAAGCCAGUUCAAGCCUCACCAGUAGCUCUUCAGGCAAAGAUCUCUUAGCCUGGCAUCAGCAGAAAUCAGGACAAGCUCCUAAACUCCUUAUUUAUCAUGCAACCACCCUGCAAUCAGGCGUCCCAGCCCGGUUCAGGGGCAGUGGGUCUGGGACUGAUUUCACUCUCACGAUCAGCAGGGUUGAAGCUGAAGAUGCUGGAGAUUAUUACUGCCAACAAGAGUAUAUCCCUCUCACAGUGAUACAGACCAAUACAAAAACCUCCCUGAGUGAGGGCACAGUGCUGAGUGCUUCUCACAGCUGCAUCUGGACAUUCAGCGUCACAAAUUUCAUAACUGAGAAGGAACAGGACGUUAAUUAA